GUGCCAGCAGCCGCGGUAAUACGGAGGGUGCGAGCGUUGUCCGGAAUCACUGGGCGUAAAGGGCGCGUAGGCGGCAGGGAAAGUCGGCGGUGAAAGCCCGGAGCUCAACUCCGGGUCGGCCGUUGAUACUUCUUUGCUCGAGCACUGUAGAGGCAGAUGGAAUUCCGGGUGUAGCGGUGGAAUGCGUAGAGAUCCGGAAGAACACCGGUGGCGAAGGCGGUCUGCUGGGCAGUUGCUGACGCUGAUGCGCGACAGCGUGGGGAGCAAACAGGAUUAGAAACCCCCGUAGUCC
rnacentral:rRNA from 1 species